rnacentral:rRNA from 1 species
CAGUCGCCGCGGUAAUACAGAGGGUGCAAGCGUUAAUCGGAAUUACUGGGCGUAAAGCGCGCGUAGGUGGUUUGUUAAGUUGGAUGUGAAAUCCCCGGGCUCGACCUGGGAACUGCAUUCAAAACUGACUGACUAGAGUAUGGUAGAGGGUGGUGGAAUUUCCUGUGUAGCGGUGAAAUGCGUAGAGAUCGGGAGGAACAUCAGUGGCGAAGGCGGCCAUCUGGGACAACACUGACGCUGAGGCACGAAAGCGUGGGGAGCAAACAGGAUUAGAUACCCCGGUAGUCCCUGUCUCUUAUAU